CACCGAGAUAUCUCUGUCCAAUUGAUGACAAUUCCUCAAGUUCUGGUGGAGAAUCUGACCCCUUGCCAAGGGUGUUUAUGGACAGGGAGGGAAAUGAUAUUCCAGUAAUAAGAAGGCAACAACGUAGGGCAAGGCCUAUUAUUGAAAAUGAGUCAAAUGAGGAAGAAGAACUUCAGAAUCCGAAUUUGGAAGAUGAUGCAGAAAUUCAGGUUGAGAAUUACCGUCAAGAUGGAGAGGCAAAUAAUGAGGAGAGAGAAGAAGUGGUACAAGAUUCUGAAAUAGAACAAGUGCUUGUGCAG